CCCCUCCCCUGCUUCUUCCCGACCCGCGCCGCAGCGAUCGCAGACUCUAGGGGAGGGAGCGAUGUUCUCUCUACCGUUCCAGCGCCUCCGAAGGUGAAAACGGGACAGAGUCCCCUUGGAUGCCCAAAGGGAGGACCAGAUAUGAUCAUGCCGAAGUCAUGGAGCCUCAAUGAAAACUCUGGACAACAAAGCUUGGAGGAACGUCCUGCCUUGGCAAUACCACAUGCGAAUGGCCACACUUGAUGUCCGGAGGAUGAGGCAUCUCUGAGGAAGACAGAAGCUCUGCAUUUGGAACUGCCUGCCUGAUUCUGCCCUAUACGCCUCUUCCUUUGGCUGGUUCUGAUGUGUAUCUUUUUGCUUUAAUAAAGCACAAUCAUAAGUAUAGCA
rnacentral:lncRNA from 1 species